rnacentral:sRNA from 1 species
CCAUGGCACAGGCGGAAGGAUAGCUGAACGAAGAUAAAGCAGGCGUCAUUAAUCUUUGAUCGAAAGUUGGAGUAACUUGAUCUGAGAUCUCCAAAGCCCACAUCAUUUCCAGCACCCUGGGGGCUCCACUUUCGCUUACAUUUUCUCCUCAACGCCUAAUCAUCCUAACUUGAUUUCGAUCUAAGAAAAUUGAUAUUUUGCAAUAGCAAUUUGCAAUUUUCUAUAAAAACAGGAUUCCAACACCCACGGGGAUAUAAGUUUGAUGGUCAUUGUGACAAUGGAUAAGCCAAGCAGUGCAGCAAGCACACUGGGUUACUUUGAAAAAUAAUUUAAAUGGCGGUGAACGACCAAAAUUUGACCAAGACGAAUUAAAGACGUGGCUCUGCAUCUCGCAGCUUUAUGGACCCUGGAAUCUAAUUCAUAUUAACCUCCUAAAAUAGGGCUCCAUUCAUUUCGAGGAUGACUUGCGGGAUCUGCUGUUUCAUCCGGAGCGGUAUACUGGCUGUCGUGGAGUGUCUGCGCACCGAAUCUGGAAGAGCAUCUAUCUGUUGUCCGAGUUAAAGGACUUCCUCCACCCACGUUAUGGUGUUUGGUUACCCAGUUUGGUUACCCACGUUUGGUUACCCACGUUUGGUUACCCAGUUACG